CCAUACCACAAACUUGCAGCAGAUUCCCAAAUCUAAUACAACCUUCACCUUUUUCAUCAAACCAAACCCUAUCAUCUCUAAUUAUAAUCCGUGUAAAUCAAUACAUGUAGCUAUUAAUUAUUGACAGAGAAAGAGAAAAGUGAUGGAGAUGGUGAAGGUGGGUCCGCUAAUCUGCUCCGGCGAAUAAGCCUAACACGUAGUGCUCUGAUUUCUCUGGUGUUCCUCUAGCUGUUGGAAGGGUCUGCCAUCCGCGUCUCCGUCGUGCCUCCUUCGGUACCGGCAGAUGAGCAUGUUUAUUUGAUCUGGACGCGUGUUAAUUGACUGACGUGUCUCACCACCGCUUGCUUUUUAGUUUCUUUAGGUUUACAACUCAUCCAUCCGCACACAGUUCCGUUGCAAGAGAGAGAGGGAGACGACCCUGCCUCCGCCCUUCCACCGCUCCGAGUGUCACAAUCACGAUCAACGUCUCCACCCUAACAGUGGAAUCGGAAUUGGUUUGUCAUGUAUAGGGUUUCGAUUAUGAGAUACAGUAUCACCUUCGCCGUCUCCAUUCUCAAAGACCAGGUAUGUGGUUUUUUUUUUUCCGGUCUAUUGAAAUCCUUUUCAUCAAGUGAUCUGCGGCCUUCUUUGUUUGCUGACAACCGUUAGAAUGUCAAGUCACGAAACAGGUGAAAAAGCUGACCUUUAGUUCCAUUGCAAACCUUUUGAUUUGUCAAUCAAUAUUGAAAUUUUUAGUUGGGGAUUUGAGAUGUAAAAUGGCGUUUGAAACCAUAAAUUUAAUUGGGGAAGAUGAACAUAACGAAUGGAAUUGUGGUGUGUUCAAAACAAUCAAGAGAGAUGUGAAAACGUGACGUAACCCACAUGAGAAAGUCACGAAUGGAAUUGAAUGAAUUUCUAAUGGUUGAAUUAGUUUUGCUUGCUUAAUUAAAUUUCUUAUGGAAAUGGAUUGUAAGAGGAAACGCAAACCAAUGAGUUGUUGUAGUUGAACUUCAAAAGAUCUAAUUGUGCUAAUGUGAGUUAAAUAAAUUAGAUGGCCAUAAAUUAAUAUUAUUCAAAGUGCAGGGCCAUAAAGUUAAUGUAACUUUAUGCAUUAUGUUUCUUAACCGCUCAAUAAUAUUUCUUGCAUUAUUGAGGCUUAAAGCAUUCGAAUCAGGUGUUUGGAGCAGACUAAUAAUGACUUUGAUCAAAGCAAACAUUGCUGAGGUGUUUGGGUCUAUGCAUUGUUUGCUUGAUAGAUGAUCAUUAUUCAUUUAGAAGUUCAUAUUGAAUCAGAUAUGAAACUUAGACCAACACUCAACUCUGUAUCCACAUAUGAAGGAAGCAGCAACGAUCCAGGUGAAAAAGCUACUUAAAAGGCAAUCUUUUUGAAUGUCUAGAAGCAUGUUAUAUGAAAAUGUAUGUGAUAAUAAUGAACUUGCUGAUGAUGGACAGGUCUAUAAAUGAAUUUCAUUCUCAUAGAUUUUGUAUAUACGACAUUACAAACAGGGCCCGCCCAAGGGGAUCCAACUCAUGGUAGGGCUUAGGCCCCCACUUGAGAAGGAGAAGGACCGCCAAUUUCUGUAAUAAAUUCCUUAAACCAGGUGAAUUCGACUUGAAACAGAGCAGAGCAGAGCUUGAGCGGCUGGUUAGUUUUGUGAUCAUCUAACACCUUAAGAGGAACAAAGGGGGCGAAUAGACAAUUGGAGGGAUGAAUCGACUGUCGAAUAAUUGGGGAGAAACAAAGGGGCGUGCAGCAAUGAGGAUUGAUUCUAUCUCGAGUCUUGGUAAGUUUUUUUAUUGUCAUUCACUAUUUCAUUCUUUUGUUCUUCAACUCUCGGAUUUACUUUCUCAU